UCACUCAAUAAUUGUAUCCUACAAUUUUGUGUACUUACACAUUAGUAAUCGCAUCUCACACUUUUGUAUGUUUCAGUCUCACAGAGAUCGUUCAACGAUACCACAGCCAUGUGGAAGCAGAAAAAGAGAGCUCUGCAGAAGUUUUGGACACAGAGCACUCUAAAUAUGCAAGCUUCAUGACAGUGCGAGAACUGUUACAAACGGUAGAAAGGCAACUCGAGGAACCUGUUGUUGAUUAUCUCAGUGUGACUGACCUUGUCCAAUUGGAAAACCAACUGCAAACUGCUCUAAUGCAAGCCAGAUCUAGCAAGACGCAUUUGAUGAUUGAAUCUAUCAAAAGUCUAGGUGAGAAGG